UACGUAGGUGGCAAGCGUUGUCCGGAUUUAUUGGGUUUAAAGGGUGCGUAGGCGGUCUUCUAAGUCAGUUGUGAAAUACUUCAGCUUAACUGGAGAGGUGCAAUUGAUACUGGAAGACUUGAGUACUGAUGAGGUAGGCGGAAUGGACGGUGUAGCGGUGAAAUGCUUAGAUAUCGUCCAGAACACCGAUAGCGAAGGCAGCUUACUAAGGAGUAACUGACGCUGAGGCACGAAAGUGUGGGGAGCAAACAGG
rnacentral:rRNA from 1 species